rnacentral:rRNA from 1 species
UACGGGGGGAGCAAGCGUUGUUCGGAUUUACUGGGCGUAAAGGGCGCGUAGGCGGCCACCGCAAGUCGACUGUGAAAUCUCCGGCUUAACCCGGAAAGGUCAGCCGAUACUGCGGGGCUAGAGUGCAGAAGGGGCAACUGGAAUUCUCGGUGUAGCGGUGAAAUGCGUAGAUAUCGAGAGGAACACCUGCGGCGAAGGCGGGUUGCUGGGCUGACACUGACGCUGAUGUGCGAAAGCUAGGGGAGCGAACGGG